rnacentral:rRNA from 1 species
AGUGAACGCUGGCGGCAUGCUUUACACAUGCAAGUCGAACGGCAGCGCGGUCUUCGGCCUGGCUGCGAGUGGCGGACGGGUGAGUAAUGCAUCGGAACGUGCCCAGUAUUGGGUGAUAGCCCGUCGAAGGCCGGAUUAAUACCGCAUACGACCUGAUGGUGAAAGCGGGGGAGCGAAGGACCUCGCGCUAUUGUGGCGGCCGAUGUCGGGUUAGCUAGUUGGUUGGGUGAAGGCUUACCAGGGCGCCGAGCCGUAGCUGGUGUGAGAGGACGACCGGCCAACUGGGGAGUGAGACACGGCCCAGACUACUAAGGGAGGCAGCAGUGGGGAAUUUUGGACAAAGGGGGCAAACCUGAUCCAGCCAUGACGCGCGCGGGAAGAAGGCCUUCGGGUUGUAAAACGCUUUUGUUCGGGAAGAAAUCCUCUGGGCUAAUACCCCGGGGGGAUGACGGUACCGGAAGAAUAAGCACCGGCUAACUACGUG